GGAAUAUUGCACAAUGGGGGAAACCCUGAUGCAGCGACGACGCGUGGGGGACGAAGUAUUUCGGCAUGUAAUGCCCGACCAGCAGGGAAGAAGAUGACAGUACCUGACUAAGAAGCCCCGGCUAACUACGUGCAAGCAGCCGCGGUAAUACGUAGGGGGCAAGCGUUAUCCGGAUUUACUGGGUGUAAAGGGAGCGUAGGUGGCAUGGCAAGCCAGAAGUGAAAACCCGGGGCUUAACCCCGCGGAUUGCUUUUGGAACUGUCAGGCUGGAGUGCAGGAGGGGCAGGCGGAAUUCCUGGUGUAGCGGUGAAAUGCGUAGAUAUCAGGAGGAACACCGGUGGCGAAGGCGGCCUGCUGGACUGUAACUGACACUGAGGCUCGAAAGCGUGGGGAGCAAA
rnacentral:rRNA from 1 species